rnacentral:lncRNA from 1 species
GCUGUCUGCAGUCAGAACAAGGCAUGGCAUGUAACCCGGUGGGGAAAGCCGGAUUCGGAGAGCUGGCCAAGUGCUUUUGCUUCGGCAGUUCUCUGUGGCUCAGGUUUACCCAGCCAGAGAGCACUGCCUACUUUCCUUCUUACCCUCUUCUAGGAUUCCCACAAUCCCCCCCCCGCCAGAGCUCGGUCAGUAGUGCUGCUGCCCUUAGAGUUUUAAAAAGUUGGAUGCUUCUCUGUUAUAAAAACAGCACACGUCACACUUGGAGAUGGCCACUAGCCAGGGAGAGAGGCAUUUGGGGGUGUGUGGGGUGGCAGGGGUGGGAGUCAGGUGGUGCAUUGAGCAUGCAGAUUUUUAUUUUCUGACUGGCAUCCUAUGGAGAAGUGGGUUCCAGAGAAUAGUGGUGUACAGGAGACCAGUUGAAUUUAAAAUAUUUAUGUAUUGAACUAUCUAAAUCUCUCUCCUCCUCCUCCAUACAUCACCUUCUUGCCUUUCAUCCCUACCCUUGGGGCAGCUGUCCCAUUUUCUGGGUGAAGAAGAAAAAAAAAAAA